CCUACGGGUGGCAGCAGUGGGGAAUAUUGCACAAUGGGGGAAACCCUGAUGCAGCGACGCCGCGUGAGUGAAGAAGGUACUUAGUAUUGUAAACUUCUUUUGUCGGGGAACAAAGGCGGAGACGCGUCUCCGGAUGAGUGUACCCGAAGAAAAAGCAUCGGCUAACUCCGUGCCAGCAGCCGCGGUAAUACGGAGGAUGCGAGCGUUAUCCGGAUUUAUUGGGUUAAAAGGGUGCGCAGGCGGGAGAUCAAGUCAGCGGUAAAAUGUCGGGGCUCAACCCCGGCCGGCCGUUGAAACUGGUUUUCUAGAGUUGGAGAGAAGUAUGCGGAAUUCGUGGUGUAGCGGUGAAAUGCAUAGAUAUCACGAAGAACUCCGAUUGCGAAGGCAGCAUACCGGCUCCAUACUGACGCUGAGGCACGAAAGCGUGGGGAUCGAACAGGAUUAGAUACCCCUGUAGUC
rnacentral:rRNA from 1 species